UACGUAGGGUGCAAGCGUUGUCCGGAAUUAUUGGGCGUAAAGAGCUCGUAGGCGGUCUGUCACGUCGGCUGUGAAAACCCGAGGCUCAACCCCGGGCCUGAAGUCGAUACGGGCAGACUAGAGUGCGGUAGGGGAGACUGGAAUUCCUGGUGUAGCGGUGAAAUGCGCAGAUAUCAGGAGGAACACCGGUGGCGAAGGCGGGUCUCUGGGCCGUAACUGACGCUGAGGAGCGAAAGCGUGGGGAGCGAACAGG
rnacentral:rRNA from 1 species